rnacentral:rRNA from 1 species
CGUGGGUAACCUACCCCGCGGACUGGGAUAGCCAUCCUAACGGAUGGGUAAUACCGGACGCGGUACUCCGGGCGCCUGUCGGGAGUACCAAAGGAUUUAUCGCCGCGGGAGGGGCUCACGUGGUAUUAGCUGGUUGGUAGGGUAACGGCCUACCAAGGCUCAGAUGCCUAGCAGGCGUGAGAGCAUGACCUGCGCCACUGGCACUGUGACACUGGCCAGACUCCUACGGGAGGCUGCAGUCGAGGAUCUUCGGCAAUGGGCGCAAGCCUGACCGAGCGACGCCGCGUGCGCGAUGAAGGCCUUCGGGUUGUAAAGCGCUGUCGAGGGGGAGGAAAGCCCGCAAGGGUCUGACCUAUCCCUGGAGGAAGCACGGGCUAAGUUCGUGCCAGCAGCCGCGGUAAGACGAACCGUGCGAACGUUGUUCGGAUUCACUGGGCUUAAAGGGCGCGUAGGCGGUGUCCUGCGUCCGGGGUGAAAGCUUUCGGCUUAACCGGAAAAGGGCCUUGGAUACGGGGACACUCGAGGGAGGUAGGGGCAGGUGGAACUUCCGGUGGAGCGGUGAAAUGCGUUGAUAUCGGAAGGAACGCCGGUGGC